GGUUAAGCGACUAAGCGUACACGGUGGAUGCCCUGGCAGUCAGAGGCGAUGAAGGACGUGCUAAUCUGCGAAAAGCGUCGGUAAGGUGAUAUGAACCGUUAUAACCGGCGAUGUCCGAAUGGGGAAACCCAGUGCAAUUCGUUGCACUAUCGUUAACUGAAUACAUAGGUUAACGAGGCGAACCGGGGGAACUGAAACAUCUAAGUACCCCGAGGAAAAGAAAUCAACCGAGAUUCCCCCAGUAGCGGCGAGCGAACGGGGAGCAGCCCAGAGUCUGAAUCAGCUUGUGUGUUAGUGGAACGGUCUGGAAAGUCCGACGGUACAGGGUGAUAGUCCCGUACACCAAAAUGCACAGGCUGUGAACUCGAAGAGUAGGGCGGGACACGUGGUAUCCUGUCUGAAUAUGGGGGGACCAUCCUCCAAGGCUAAAUACUCCUGACUGACCGAUAGUGAACCAGUACCGUGAGGGAAAGGCGAAAAGAACCCCGGCGAGGGGAGUGAAAAAGAACCUGAAACCGUGUACGUACAAGCAGUGGGAGCACCUUCGGGUGUGACUGCGUACCUUUUGUAUAAUGGGUCAGCGACUUAUAUUCUGUAGCAAGGUUAACCGUAUAGGGGAGCCGCAGGGAAACCGAGUCUUAACUGGGCGUUAAGUUGCAGGGUAUAGACCCGAAACCCGGUGAUCUAGCCAUGGGCAGGUUGAAGGUUGGGUAACACUAACUGGAGGACCGAACCGACUAAUGUUGAAAAAUUAGCGGAUGACUUGUGGCUGGGGGUGAAAGGCCAAUCAAACCGGGAGAUAGCUGGUUCUCCCCGAAAGCUAUUUAGGUAGCGCCUCGUGAAUUCAUCUUCGGGGGUAGAGCACUGUUUCGGCUAGGGGGUCAUCCCGACUUACCAACCCGAUGCAAACUACGAAUACCGAAGAAUGUUAUCACGGGAGACACACGGCGGGUGCUAACGUCCGUCGUGAAGAGGGAAACAACCCAGACCGCCAGCUAAGGUCCCAAAGUCAUGGUUAAGUGGGAAACGAUGUGGGAAGGCACAGACAGCCAGGAUGUUGGCUUAGAAGCAGCCAUCAUUUAAAGAAAGCGUAAUAGCUCACUGGUCGAGUCGGCCUGCGCGGAAGAUGUAACGGGGCUAAACCAUGCACCGAAGCUGCGGCAGCGACACUAUGUGUUGUUGGGUAGGGGAGCGUUCUGUAAGCCUGCGAAGGUGUGCUGUGAGGCAUGCUGGAGGUAUCAGAAGUGCGAAUGCUGACAUAAGUAACGAUAAAGCGGGUGAAAAGCCCGCUCGCCGGAAGACCAAGGGUUCCUGUCCAACGUUAAUCGGGGCAGGGUGAGUCGACCCCUAAGGCGAGGCCGAAAGGCGUAGUCGAUGGGAAACAGGUUAAUAUUCCUGUACUUGGUGUUACUGCGAAGGGGGGACGGAGAAGGCUAUGUUAGCCGGGCGACGGUUGUCCCGGUUUAAGCAUGUAGGCUGGUUAUCCAGGCAAAUCCGGAUAAUCAAGGCUGAGGUGUGAUGACGAGGCACUACGGUGCUGAAGUAACAAAUGCCCUGCUUCCAGGAAAAGCCUCUAAGCAUCAGGUAACAUUAAAUCGUACCCCAAACCGACACAGGUGGUCAGGUAGAGAAUACCAAGGCGCUUGAGAGAACUCGGGUGAAGGAACUAGGCAAAAUGGUGCCGUAACUUCGGGAGAAGGCACGCUGGUGUGUAGGUGAAGUCCCUGCGGAUGGAGCUGAGACCAGUCGAAGAUACCAGCUGGCUGCAACUGUUUAUUAAAAACACAGCACUGUGCAAACACGAAAGUGGACGUAUACGGUGUGACGCCUGCCCGGUGCCGGAAGGUUAAUUGAUGGGGUUAUCCGUAAGGAGAAGCUCUUGAUCGAAGCCCCGGUAAACGGCGGCCGUAACUAUAACGGUCCUAAGGUAGCGAAAUUCCUUGUCGGGUAAGUUCCGACCUGCACGAAUGGCGUAAUGAUGGCCAGGCUGUCUCCACCCGAGACUCAGUGAAAUUGAACUCGCUGUGAAGAUGCAGUGUACCCGCGGCAAGACGGAAAGACCCCGUGAACCUUUACUAUAGCUUGACACUGAACAUUGAGCCUUGAUGUGUAGGAUAGGUGGGAGGCUUUGAAGCGUGGACGCCAGUCUGCGUGGAGCCAACCUUGAAAUACCACCCUUUAAUGUUUGAUGUUCUAACGUUGGCCCCUUACCGGGGUUGCGGACAGUGUCUGGUGGGUAGUUUGACUGGGGCGGUCUCCUCCCAAAGCGUAACGGAGGAGCACGAAGGUUAGCUAAUCCUGGUCGGACAUCAGGAGGUUAGUGCAAUGGCAUAAGCUAGCUUGACUGCGAGCGUGACGGCGCGAGCAGGUGCGAAAGCAGGUCAUAGUGAUCCGGUGGUUCUGAAUGGAAGGGCCAUCGCUCAACGGAUAAAAGGUACUCCGGGGAUAACAGGCUGAUACCGCCCAAGAGUUCAUAUCGACGGCGGUGUUUGGCACCUCGAUGUCGGCUCAUCACAUCCUGGGGCUGAAGUAGGUCCCAAGGGUAUGGCUGUUCGCCAUUUAAAGUGGUACGCGAGCUGGGUUUAGAACGUCGUGAGACAGUUCGGUCCCUAUCUGCCGUGGGCGCUGGAGAAUUGAGGGGGGCUGCUCCUAGUACGAGAGGACCGGAGUGGACGCAUCACUGGUGUUCGGGUUGUCAUGCCAAUGGCACUGCCCGGUAGCUAAAUGCGGAAGAGAUAAGUGCUGAAAGCAUCUAAGCACGAAACUUGCCCCGAGAUGAGUUCUCCCUGAGACUUUAAGUCUCCUGAAGGAACGUUAAAGACGAUGACGUUGAUAGGCCGGGUGUGUAAGCGCAGCGAUGCGUUGAGCUAACCGGUACUAAUGAACCGUGAGGCUUAACCUU
rnacentral:rRNA from 1 species